rnacentral:rRNA from 1 species
GACGAACGCUGGCGGCAUGCCUAAUACAUGCAAGUCGAGCGAACAGAUGAAGUGCUUGCACUUCUGACGUUAGCGGCGAACGGGUGAGUAACACGUAAGGAAUCUACCUAUAAGCGGGGGAUAACAUUCGGAAACGGGUGCUAAUACCGCAUAAUAUCUUCUUCCGCAUGGAAGAAGAUUGAAAGACGGCUCUGCUGUCACUUAUAGAUGACCUUGCGGUGCAUUAGUUAGUUGGUGGGGUAAUGGCCUACCAAGACGAUGAUGCAUAGCCGACCUGAGAGGGUUAUCGGCUACAUUGGGACUGAGACACGGCCCAAACACCUACGGGAGGCAGCAGUAGGGAAUCUUCCGCAAUGGGCGAAAGCCUGACGGAGCAAUGCCGCGUGAGUGAAGAAGGCCUUCGGGUCGAAAAACUCUGUUAUAAGAGAAGAACAAAUUGUAGAGUAACUGCUACAGUCUUGACGGUAUCUUAUCAGAAAGCCACGGCUAACUACGUGCCAGCCGCCGCCGUAA